AGAGUUUGAUCCUGGCUCAGGAUUAACGCUGGCGGCGUGCAUAACACAUGCAAGUCGAACGAUGAAACUUUAAUGAACCCUUCGGGGAGAAUUAAAGCGGAUUAGUGGCGAACGGGUGAGUAACGCGUGAGUAACCUGCCUUACACAAGGGGAUAGCCUUUGGAAACGAAGAAUAAUACCCUAUAAAACCAUAAAAGCACAUGCAAUUAUGGUCAAAGUAUUAGCGGUGUAAGAUGGACUUGCGUCUGAUUAGCUAGUUGGUGAGAUAAAAGCCCACCAAGGCAACGAUCAGUAGCCGGCUUGAGAGAGUGUACGGCCACAUUGGGACUGAGACACGGCCCAGACUCCUACGGGAGGCAGCAGUGGGGAAUUUUGCACAAUGGGGGAAACCCUGAUGCAGCGACGCCGCGUGAUUUAGAAGGCCUUCGGGUUGUAAAAAUCUUUUGUAUAGGAAGAAAAUGACAGUACUAUACGAAUAAGGUCCGGCUAAUUACGUGCCAGCAGCCGCGGUAAUACGUAAGGACCGAGCGUUGUCCGGAAUCAUUGGGCGUAAAGGGUACGUAGGCGGCUAGAAAAGUUAGAAGCCAAAGGCUAUAGCUCAACUAUAGUAAGCUUCUAAAACUAUUUAGCUUGAGAGAUGGAAGGGAAAGUGGAAUUCCUAGUGUAGCGGUGGAAUGCGCAGAUAUUAGGAGGAAUACCGGUGGCGAAGGCGACUUUCUGGCCAUUUUCUGACGCUGAGGUACGAAAGCGUGGGUAGCAAACAGGAUUAGAUACCCUGGUAGUCCACGCCGUAAACGAUGAGUGUUAGUGUCUGGAGUCAAAUCUGGGUGCCGCAGCAAACGCAUCAAACACUCCGCCUGGGGAGUACGCACGCAAGUGUGAAACUCAAAGGAAUUGACGG
rnacentral:rRNA from 1 species